AACGAACGCUGGCGGCAGGCCUAACACAUGCAAGUCGAACGCAUUCCGUCUUCGGGCGGGGUGAGUGGCGCACGGGUGAGUAACACGUGGGAAUGUGCCCUUUGGUUCGGAAUAACGUCUGGAAACGGACGCUAAUACCGGAUGUCCCCUGGGGGGGAAAGAUUUAUCGCCAAAGGAGCAGCCCGCGUCUGAUUAGGUAGUUGGUGGGGUAACGGCCUACCAAGCCGACGAUCAGUAGCUGGUAUGAGAGGAUGAUCAGCCACACUGGGACUGAGACACGGCCCAUACUCCUACGGGAGGCAGCAGUGGGGAAUAUUGGACAAUGGGCGCAAGCCUGAUCCAGCCAUGCCGCGUGAGUGAUGAAGGCCUUCGGGUUGUAAAGCUCUUUCGCACGUGACGAUGAUGACGGUAACGUGAGAAGAAGCCCCGGCUAACUUCGUGCCAGCCGCCGCAGUAACAC
rnacentral:rRNA from 1 species